UGGAAGCUACACAGUGGAGAAGAGGGCCCAGCCAAAAGUUGAGUGUCGUGGCAGCAAAAGGGCUCCCACCUCGUGGUGAUGGCCGCGGCAGACGACACACCAUCUCGGAGGCCAUGCGCAGAAGACGCAACUACGUGCAGCACAUUUUGAAGAAAACGCCUUUGAGCAGAACCGGGUGGACGGCUGGAAAAAAUUGAAGCCCAAUGCUGUGCCAACGCUCUUCUCGUUUAGAGCGAUGCCUAAGCACAGGAAGCCGCCAAAAGAAAGGCUUUCAGCACAAGGGGCACUUGCGGCAGAAGGAAACAUAAUCUGAGGACGUGGGAGCCACCCAGCCGCGGCGGCCGAGUUUCUAUAGAGGUUAAGCGCAUGGUGUUGUGUACUAGUUCGGUAUCGGUGCAAGUAAAUAAAAUCACAGGUG